UACGUAGGGUGCAAGCGUUGUCCGGAAUUAUUGGGCGUAAAGAGCUCGUAGGCGGCUUGUCGCGUCGUCCGUGAAAACUCACAGCUCAACUGUGAGCUUGCGGUCGAUACGGGCAGGCUGGAGUUCGGUAGGGGAGACUGGAAUUCCUGGUGUAGCGGUGAAAUGCGCAGAUAUCAGGAGGAACACCGGUGGCGAAGGCGGGUCUCUGGGCCGAUACUGACGCUGAGGAGCGAAAGCGUGGGGAGCGAACAGG
rnacentral:rRNA from 1 species